GGGGAAACAGGUGAAAAAAGCAGAAGCAGGAAGUAAACAGCUGUAGAUCUUACGACUAUACUCGGACCAAAAAAAACAACAACGUUUAAAUGCUUUUAAAUCGCUUCAGUUUGGAUCCUUGCAGGCUAUAAUGUUCACAGUUCGAGGCUGCAUAAUGAAAAUAAGUUAGCCGGGCUUUAAAGGCCGGGUUAAGGCUUCACCCCGGGAUUAUUGCAUCAGUGAUCUUGGUGUCUGCGGUGGCGGUAGCUGCUGCCGUAUUGAUCAUCCGAAAAUACUGCUUCCCAGUCAAUGAGGCAACUUACAGAUACUCAGUGCUGAGACAGAUGGAGGAGGGGCAUUCAGCAGCGGCAGAGGAGGAUGGCGACAGGAGGUCGCGCACAGUGGGAGAGGAUUCAGACGAGGAUCUUUUGGAAUAAAUCUCCAACUGGGAAGCUGCUGGACUGACUGCAAUGGAGUUUAUUCUAUAAACUGUGUGGUGUACGAAUGAAAUGGAGGAUUGUUUUCGUAGCGGGGAUAAAAAGCGAGCCAAGAAUGUGAAAACCAAAAAUAUACAAUUACAGAUAAAAUAAGUGAGGAAAUAGUAUUCCAUAUUUGCAGUUAUAUCUUAAACUGUAAUUCUGAGAUUAAAUGUGAUUUCUAUUUGUGCAGCUUCAUACUCUUAGAUGUGAAAUAAUGACCUUCAUUUGAAUCAUCACUGACAUUUUCUUUUCUUUUUUUUCCUUUUUUACACAUAACACAUGACAUUUGAUGUCUUUGGCUACUACCCAACCCUCUGAUGGGUGGAGGUUGUUCCCGCAGGCACAGCUCAGGGCUUAAAAAAGGUGUUCUUUUUUUCCAGCAUAAAACUCAUUUAAUCCUUAUUUCUCACAAUCAAUAUUCUGCUAAAAUAUGCUACAAUAAAACAACCAACAAAACAUUCAGUGUUAGCUGUGGUAGAUAAGAGUCGUAAUGAAUUGUCAACAAAAUUGAAUGUGUUAUUUGGCGAUACGGUCAGUGUAUUAAAGCAGCAAUUCAUGCAGCCUUUUUAAAUUAUUCUUUUAUUUUGGAAAGCCUGAUAACUACUGAGCUAUCUGCACAUCUUUCAGCUGCAUUUAUUUUGUUGUUGUUUUUUGGACGAAUGGAGCUCUGAGACCUAUGCGUUUGAUAAGACUUGUGGGUAUGUGAUUUGGAUGCUAAUGCUGCUGAUCAUAUGGAGAGUCAACACUCCACUAUUUACUCCAUUAUUUCCACUAUUUAACUUUAAAUUUAAAUUUAUACCUGAAAUAUAAAAUCUAAAGCGGAACAUUAUUUCCUGUAUUAUUUACUGGCAGUGCAAUAAAUGUCAGUGGGACAUUGAAAGGGCAGACGCACUCACAUUCGCUCAAUGUUUGUCUGUCUGCCACAGAACAUGUAAAUGUGCAAUGCUAUGAAUUAAGCGGUUGUUACAAAGUCGCACAUGGAGAUGUGAUGUUUCGCACACCCCAAAUGAUGUGCAAAGGUAGUCAAAAUAGGACUUCAGCUGUCUGCCAGUUGGGCAGUUUCCCUUUGAAAGGAUUUGCUGUUUCAUCGUUCCACUUAAAGGCAAUUUGCAGUUUAGUCCACUGGGUCUUUAAUGUAGCGCUGGGCUGAAUGAUGUACCCUGAUCUCUCUGACAGCCAUACUUGUCACAGAUAGAAAAAAAGCUACUUACCUGGUUGGGAGCUGCAAGUGAACAUUCUGACGUGAACGUCAGUGUCACAGCUCAAACUAACGACUGGUUCAUUUUAGGUUAUUCGUGUGAUCAACAAAUCAGACACCGAGACCCGAUUCUUGUGUUUUCCAAUCAUCUUUUGCUGUGUAGUUACUGAUGUUGAUGUGGAUCAGUAUUUAUAAAACCUACUGUAUCUUUUUAUUUAUUUUGUGGACAUCUGGGAUCUAAAUCUGCUGGUUAUUAAACAUAUUAAUCAUGUGGACUGGUUAAGUGUGCUCUGUAUGUACUUAUUUUCCCCCCAGUUUGUUACCUUGAUGAUUUGUGUCCUUAUAUAAAGGGAAUGUUUUAUUAAAUGUAGCUCUGGAAUAAAAAAUCCAGGAGCUAUGGAGUCAAAUGUUGAAAAAUAUUGCCGGCGUUCAUUUGAUUGCUGUCUGCAGAAUGUCGAUAAUCAUACAAAAGGAAAGCGAUCCCCUCACUGUGUGCUUUGUGUUACCGCUGAUCAGUAAACGGCAGUACACAAAUACCACCUGCUGGUCACCUUUAGUAAUACAC
ensembl:lncRNA